rnacentral:rRNA from 1 species
GACGAACGCUGGCGGCGUGCUUAACACAUGCAAGUCGAACGGAAAGGCCCUGCAUUUGUGGGGUGCUCGAGUGGCGAACGGGUGAGUAACACGUGAGUAACCUGCCCUUGACUUUGGGAUAACUUCAGGAAACUGGGGCUAAUACCGGAUCGGAGCUCCUGCUGCAUGGUGGGGGUUGGAAAGUUUCGGCGGUUGGGGAUGGACUCGCGGCUUAUCAGCUUGUUGGUGGGGUAGUGGCUUACCAAGGCUUUGACGGGUAGCCGGCCUGAGAGGGUGACCGGCCACAUUGGGACUGAGAUACGGCCCAGACUCCUACGGGAGGCAGCAGUGGGGAAUAUUGCACAAUGGGCGGAAGCCUGAUGCAGCAACGCCGGGUGCGGGAUGACGGCCUUCGGGUUGUAAACCGCUUUCGCCUGUGACGAAGCGUGAGUGACGGUAAUGAGUAAAGAAGCACCGGCUAACUACGUG